rnacentral:rRNA from 1 species
AUAGAGACUCAGAGCUGCAUAUCAAUAAGCGGAGGAAAAGAAACUAACAAGGAUUCCCUUAGUAACGGCGAGUGAAGCGGGAAGAGCUCAAAUUUGAAAUCUUCAAGGUUCUACCUUGACGAAUUGUAGUUUAUAGAAGUGUUUUCUGUUAGUAGAGUGGCAAAAGUUCUUUGGAAUAGGACAUCAUAGAGGGUGAGAAUCCCGUAUUUGGUCAUUCUUUCUAGCUUUGUGAUACACUUUCAACGAGUCGGAUUGUUUGGGAAUGCAGUCCAAAAUGGGUGGUAAGUUUCAUCUAAAGCUAAAUAUUGGCGAGAGACCGAUAGCGAACAAGUACCGUGAGGGAAAGAUGAAAAGAACUUUGAAAAGAGAGUUAAACAGUACGUGAAAUUGUCAAAAGGGAAGCGUUUGACACCAGUGUUGUUUUUCCGAAAAUCAAUUACGAAUGUUUUGUUUUUAAGAAGUUAUGACUUCAUCGGCUUGCUUCUCUCUUUACUGAAACUUUCUUAAUGCACUUUUCGGUUAACAAGUCAACAUCAAUUUCUUUUGUUGUAAAAGGGUACGAGGAAGGUGGCUUUCUUUUCGGAGAAAGUGUUUAUAGCCUUGUACCUCUGCAAUCGGAGAGAUUGAGGUCUGCAGCGUAGAUCCUUCGGGGCUAGAUACAUUUGUGCUAAGUUAUAGCUUUUCAUAGACAACUUGUUGACUAUGAUCAGUCAUGUAGCCUACUCGCUUAUGUCAUUAUACCUACGCUUAGGAUGUUGACGAGACUGUCGAUCUC